UACGUAGGGCGCAAGCGUUAUCCGGAAUUAUUGGGCGUAAAGAGCGCGCAGGCGGUCGUGCAAGUCGCGUGUGAAAGCCCCCGGCUCAACUGGGGAGGGUCACGCGAUACUGCUCGACUCGAAGGCAGGAGAGGGAAGUGGAAUUCCCGGUGUAGUGGUGAAAUGCGUAGAUAUCGGGAGGAACACCAGUGGCGAAGGCGACUUCCUGGCCUGUUCUUGACGCUGAGGCGCGAAAGCUAGGGUAGCAAACGGG
rnacentral:rRNA from 1 species